CGCACCCAGCAACCCCGCGGGCCUCACACCGGAGGGGGGAACCCGGCGGGGCGGGGGUGGCUCAGACAGGGGUGAGAGACCCCCCCACCCCGCGCACCCCAAACGCUCGCGGGCGGGCGCGGGGCGCACGUGCGUGCAGGCUCCUCUGUGUUGCUCACCUGGUGCAUUUCAAGCUCGACCCACAGAAGUUGUUGCUCUGGGAGCAGUCGUGGCAUGUUUGACCAAUGGUUUGGAUGGUGGAGAUGAAUUGAGGACACAGCGCCCACACUCCUGACCUGGAACUUGAACUUUUCUUCCUCCCUCCUCUCGGAGGGAAAAGGGGUGGAAAAUUUUGGGAUCUUCUGCUUGCCAUCGAUCCGAGCUGAUUCGAUGAGCAUUGGCUUCAUAUCAUGUCUGUGUGCUCCUCGGUAGAUUAUUUCAACCUGAACUAAAAAACACUCAUGUUCUUGAGAGGUGGUAAUCGGAUGCUCGAUGCUCAGGCCUAACAUUUCACACAGAAUCACAGAAUGUCAGGGAUUGGAAGGGACCUCAAAAGACCAUCCAGUCCAAUCCCCCUGCUGGAGCAGGAACACCCAGAUGAGGUUACACAGGAAGGUGUCCAGGCAGGUCUUGAAUGCCUUCAGAGCUGGAGACUCUACAACCUCCCUGGGCAGCCUGUUCCAGUGUCUGUCACCCUCACUGAGAAGAAGUUUCUUCUCAAAUUUAAGUGGAACCUUUUGUGUUCCUUGUCCUACCAUUGGUUGUCACCGAGAAGAGCCUGGCUCCAUCCUUGCGACACUCACCCUUUAUAUAUCUGUAAACAUUAAUGAGGUCAACCCUCAGUCUCCUCUUCUCCGAGCUAAAGAGCCCCAGCUCCCUCAGCCUUUUCUCAUAAGAAAGAUGCUCCACUCCCUUAAUCAUCUCUGUUGCUCUGCACUGGACACUCUCCAGCAGUUCUCUGUCCUUCUGGAACUGAGGAGCCCAGAACUGGACACAAUAUUCCAGGUGUGGUCUCACCAGGGCAGAGUAGAGGGGCAGGAGAACCUCUCUGGACAUACUAACCACUCCCCUUCUAAUCCACCCCCGGAUGCCAUUGGCCUUCCUGGCCACAAGGCAUUUGGCCAUCUCCUCCAUUGCCAACACCUCAUUUAAAAAAAAGAAAUAAUCAUGACACAUAAGGAGAACCAUGAGAUAAAAGAAAAAAUGAACGUUGCUGCUUUUUAAACCCUGAUUUAUUUUUUUCCUUUCUGAUUUUUUUGGAGGGGAGAGGGAAGUGAAUCAUAUUUUCAUCUUUUUUUCCACAGCCAUGAGGGCUAGACACUUAUUUCUUUAACAAAGGGGAAAAAAACACAAUAAAUUAAAAUUCCCAGGUGGUAGUAUGACUAAAAUAAAACCCAAAUUCAUGGAAAUACGUGCCAAGGUGGUGAGGUCUGGUGAUGCUGCCCCCUGUUACAUGCAGGAGUGGGAGGGAGGGACCUGUCCUGCAGGUGCUGUGCCAGGGGCUGCCCCUGUCCCUUCCCAUGGUUUCUGGGACUGGGAUGGUCACAUCUGAAGACAGAGAUGUGGGAAAAGGUCUCCAGGAAGGAAAACACAUGCAGGGAUAUCCCUGCAGCCCAUUAGAACCGAUACAGAUGUGACCCUCUAGAGCUGAAACUAAAUAGGACCACGGUAUGGAGCUGGGCACUGUGCAUAAUUGACUGCACUGAUUAAUUAAAACCAUGCUUCUUGGCAGGGGUGAUGGUGGAGCAUCUUCUGAAGCUUCAGAUGGCUGUUGCUGCAUCCGCACGGGUGUACCCCAAACUUCUGCUGGGACCCCACAGCUGAAACAGCUGCUGGAGGACACGUGGGAUCAGAAGGGGAAUCCUGUGUAUCGUCCUUUUGGUGCAGGAUCGUAAGGAAAACCCUAAAAAUAGUGAUAGAUCCAGUAGCCCUAGGGAGAGCCUGUGCUGCUGGAACCACCCGCUUCAUGUAACAUUUUCCUAGAAUUAAAUGACAGUUUUUUAGAGUUAAAAACCAAUCAAAUGGUUUGUUGUUUUUUUUUUUUUUUUCAUUUCCCCUGCUGUCUGGUUGCAAAAUCUUGAGCAGAAAUUCCAUGAUCUGGAGUCAUUUGGUCCAGUGCAAUGAGAAUGAUCUGCUCUACACAUGUUAGUGCAAAAAGACAAGAAAACAGAACCCCCUGUGUUUCAGCCCCUGGGUGCUGCCCGAUCUCAGUCACAUCAAAGCCAGCUGCCUCCUGUGCGGACACAAGGGUGCAACAGAUGUCCUGAACAUUUUCAGGAUUCACAAUGAAGGGGCUGGUAAAAUGGGACCAGCUGGUUCAUCCCUACUUGUGCUGAGUACUAGGUUUCAUGCACUCAAACUACUUCCACCGGCAUGUCAUCAUGUGCCUUUGGUAUGAAAACUUUAAUUUUGGAGUGAGAAAUUAAUUUCUCUUGUCGUAAAACACAUCUCACAGCAUCGCUUUUCCCCCACCUCUCCCUGUGUUGACAAAGCUAAGUUUGUGCUAUCAUCAGCUUUCCUUGACUCAUUUUUCUCUGUUUCCUGCAUCUCAUUAAUACACAAGCGGUAUUAAAUAAUAAUGAUGCCAACAGUGGUCUCUGCUGUGCUUUGGUGUUCGCUCCUUUUUGCUUCGAGGAGCAGAUGUUCCCUGUCUUUGUUUUCUGUCACCAAAUGGGGACUUUGCCCUUUUAACCUUUGAUACAGUCCUUUAAUACUCUCUGACAAGAGAUUUUAUCAAAAGCCAAAUAAAUGACAGCAGCCUA